UUUAGCUUAUGUAUGUAAUUUAAUGCAUUAAUAUUUUUCAAUGUUUCUGUCUUAGAGAUUGUCAUCCUGCUGUAUCUGUGAGGUUCAGGGGCAGCUGUGAGGGGAGUUUGUAGGCGGCAUAGUUUCUGCUUCAAGGAACGUCUGCAAAAAGAGCAAAUAACAGUUUGACCGUAUAUGGAUGUGAGAAGGGGAGAGGCUGCCGAGUGCUUCACCAUGAAACUGUCCACCCAGAGAUCUCAACUAACACAAAACACUAGUUGGAGGUGGUGUAGUACUUUCCAAAGUGGGCAGAUUCUCCAAGGUGAUAACAGCAGUCUAGAAAAUCAUGUUGAGAAUGGAGUUGAAACUGAAGAGCCUAAUGGGUUUUGCCAGCAUAUCACA